CCUACGGGGCGCAGCAGUGGGGGAUAUUGCACAAUGGGGGAAACCCUGAUGCAGCGACGCCGCGUGGGUGAAGAAGCGCCUCGGCGCGUAAAGCCCUGUCAGCAGGGAAGAAAAUGACGGUACCUGAAGAAGAAGCCCCGGCUAACUACGUGCCAGCAGCCGCGGUAAUACGUAAGGGGCAAGCGUUAUCCGGAUUUACUGGGUGUAAAGGGGGCGCAGACGGCGAUGCAAGCCAGGAGUGAAAGCCCGGUGCCCAACCCCGGGACUGCUCUUGGCACUGCGUGGCUAGAGUGCAGGAGGGGCAG
rnacentral:rRNA from 1 species